rnacentral:snRNA from 1 species
GGAUGUGAGGGCCAUCUGGCAGCGACAUGUCACCCCAUUGAUCGCCAGGGUUGAUUCGGCUGAUCUGGCUGGCUAGGCGGGUGUCCCCUUUCUCCCUCAACGAUCCAUGUGCGUCCCUCCUGAAGCUGCGCUCUCGGUUGAAGAGGAGGACCACCCCCGAUAGAGGACCGUUCCUUGGUCAAGGGUGUACAAGUAGCUGCGCUCCCCUGCUAGAACCUCCAAACAAACUCUCGAGAUAACAAUGUACAGUGUAUUGACUAUCAAAAUUAUCCUGUUAAUCAGCUGUGAAACUUUCAUUCAUAUUUAUU